UCCUUGGUGGUCUAGUAGUUAGGAUUCAGCACUCUCACUGCUGUGGCCUGAGUUCAAUUCCCAGCCAGGGAA